CCUACGGGAGACAGCAGUCGGGAAUAUUGCGCAAUGGAGGAAACUCUGACGCAGUGACGCCGCGUGCAGGAAGAAGGUUUUCGGAUUGUAAACUGCUUUAGACAGGGAAGAAAAAAGACAGUACCUGUAGAAUAAGCUCCGGCUAACUACGUGCCAGCAGCCGCGGUAAUACGUAGGGAGCAAGCGUUAUCCGGAUUUAUUGGGUGUAAAGGGUGCGUAGACGGAGAAGCAAGUUAGUUGUGAAAUCCCUCGGCUUAACUGAGGAACUGCAACUAAAACUACUUCCCUUGAGUACUGGAGAGGCAAUCGGAAUUCCGGGUGUAGCGGUGAAAUGCGUAGAUAUACGGAGGAACACCAGUGGCGAAGGCGGAUUGCUGGACAGUAACUGACGCUGAGGCGCGAAAGCGUGGGGAGCAAACAGGAUUAGAUACCCUGGUAGUC
rnacentral:rRNA from 1 species